CUAAUACAUGCAAGUCGAACGAGUUCUCGUUGAUGAUCGGUGCUUGCACCGAGAUUCAACAUAGAACGAGUGGCGGACGGGUGAGUAACACGUGGGUAACCUGCCCUUAAGUGGGGGAUAACAUUUGGAAACAGAUGCUAAUACCGCAUAGAUCCAAGAACCGCAUGGUUCUUGGCUGAAAGAUGGCGUAAGCUAUCGCUUUUGGAUGGACCCGCGGCGUAUUAGCUAGUUGGUGAGGUAAUGGCUCACCAAGGCGAUGAUACGUAGCCGAACUGAGAGGUUGAUCGGCCACAUUGGGACUGAGACACGGCCCAAACUCCUACGGGAGGCAGCAGUAGGGAAUCUUCCACAAUGGACGCAAGUCUGAUGGAGCAACGCCGCGUGAGUGAAGAAGGCUUUCGGGUCGUAAAACUCUGUUGUUGGAGAAGAAUGGUCGGCAGAGUAACUGUUGUCGGCGUGACGGUAUCCAACCAGAAAGCCACGGCUAACUACGUGCCAGCAGCCGCGGUAAUACGUAGGUGGCAAGCGUUAUCCGGAUUUAUUGGGCGUAAAGCGAGCGCAGGCGGUUUUUUAAGUCUGAUGUGAAAGCCCUCGGCUUAACCGAGGAAGCGCAUCGGAAACUGCGGAAAUUGAGUGCAGAAGAGGACAGUGGAACUCCUUGUGUAGCCGGGAAAUGCGUAGAUAUAUGAAAGAACACCAGUGGCGAAGGCGGCUGUCUGGUCUGUAACUGACGCUGAGGCUCGAAAGCAUGGGUAGCGAACAGGAUUAGAUACCCUGGUAGUCCAUGCCGUAAACGAUGAAUGCUAGGUGUUGGAGGGUUUCCGCCCUUCAGUGCCGCAGCUAACGCAUUAAGCAUUCCGCCUGGGGAGUACGACCGCAAGGUUGAAACUCAAAGGAAUUGACGGGGGCCCGCACAAGCGGUGGAGCAUGUGGUUUAAUUCGAAGCAACGCGAAGAACCUUACCAGGUCUUGACAUCUUUUGAUCACCUGAGAGAUCAGGUUUCCCCUUCGGGGGCAAAAUGACAGGUGGUGCAUGGUUGUCGUCAGCUCGUGUCGUGAGAUGUUGGGUUAAGUCCCGCAACGAGCGCAACCCUUAUGACUAGUUGCCAGCAUUUAGUUGGGCACUCUAGUAAGACUGCCGGUGACAAACCGGAGGAAGGUGGGGAUGACGUCAAAUCAUCAUGCCCCUUAUGACCUGGGCUACACACGUGCUACAAUGGAUGGUACAACGAGUUGCAAGACCGCGAGGUCAAGCUAAUCUCUUAAAGCCAUUCUCAGUUCGGACUGUAGGCUGCAACUCGCCUACACGAAGUCGGAAUCGCUAGUAAUCGCGGAUCAGCACGCCGCGGUGAAUACGUUCCCGGGCCUUGUACACACCGCCCGUCACACCAUGAGAGUUUGUAACACCCGAAGCCGGUGGCGUAACCCUUUUAGGGAGCGAGCCGUCUAAGGUGGGACAAAUGAUUAGGGUGAA
rnacentral:rRNA from 1 species